CCAGAACACAUCAAAGAAUAGAGAAUUAUAAAACACAGCACUCCUGUGACCCUUGUAAGCAUAAGUGGCUCAGAAAAUGGAUGGCUGGAUAAACACAACAUUUGAACUAUAUGAAGUGAGGCUCUUUUAAUUGGGGGACGAGAGAGUGGUGGGGGGUGUAACUUUGGGAAAAUGAAAUCACAAUAUUGCAAUAAAUAGCAAUAUUAUAAAGACGAAGUCACACUUUUUCUAGAUCAAAGUUACAAGAAACAAGUAAUUGUUGAAAAAUGUGAACAUCAACAUUCCUACAUCAAUGUAACAGUAAUUUCAGUGUGGUACAAAAGCAUAUAUUUUCCAUUUUAGACGUUUAUUUGAUGUUUUCAUUUUAUAUCUCUAUGACAUGAACUAGAACACGUCUCACCCAGUACAGCGUAUGUCAAAUUUAGCAGGGUACACCAUUGUGGUACAUGUUGACAGUCAUUGUGUGUCACAAAUCAAGCUCGAUGGCAACAGGAGAGGCCUGCCAGACUGAGGUCUUUGAAAGGACAGUGACAUAUAAUGCAAUCCUUUCUGAUGUCACCUAAAUCCAUGCUUUGUAUUUUUCAUGGUAUCACAUGUGCGGAGAGGUAGCUAUACUGUAUAUAUAUAUAUAUACACUGUGUUAGGCUAGGGCGGCACGGUGGAUAAGGUGGAAAGCAUUGGCCUCACAGUUCUGAGGUCCCAGGUUCAAUCCCGGCCCCGCCUGUGUGGAAUUUGCAUGUUCUCCCCGUGCCUGUGUGGGUUUUCUCUGGGCACUCCGGUUUCCUCCCACAUCCCUAAAACAUGCAACAUUAAUUGGACUCUUUGUGUGAUUGUGAGGGCGGCUGUUGUCUGUCUCCAUGUGCCCUGCGAUUAUCUGGGAACCAGUGCAGGGUGUACCCCACCUCCUGGCCGUUCACAGCUGGGAUAGGCUCCAGCAUGUCCGUGACCAUCGUUAGGAUAAGCGGCUUAGAAAAUGGAUGGAUGGAUGGAUGGAUGGAUGUGUUAGGCCAGAUAUGGACAAACUACAGCCCGCGGCCCGUAUACGGCCCGUUAAGCUUUUCAGUCCGGCCCACCGAACUUAUCCACUUAAAAAAAAAUAAAAAAAUCUAAAUCCUACAUAAAUCUUUCAUCUGGUCCCUGCAGUGCCAGCGUUUCCCCAAUAGGUGGCGGACUGAACAUUGGUGGACCUUUGUUGGAGUGUAACAUACUUUUUAUUUCACUCUUAUUUUCCGUGGCCGGUUGAGUCCUUCUGUAAAAAUGAGCGGACCAAAGACAGUGAGUGCACAGUAUUUCAUAAACGGUGGACAACGAAAUAUUUUUAGACUGAAGUCCGAUCAAUGGCUGUGCGUCUCAUAUGCCAAGAAGCUGUUGCACUUAUAAAGAGUACAAUAUCUGCCGUCAAUUUGCAACGAAGUAUGCAAAUUAUGCUACCAGUCCAUGCAAGAACGGGCGGCUACUGCACACAGGUUGGGGGCUAAGUUACAGACUCAGCAGAAUUAUUUCACCGACAAACUGCAAUUCAAGAGUCAAGUAUCAAAGCAAGGUGUUUACAUUCUACCUCAAGAUAGCAUGAACGCAGACCAACCAGAUCCAACCAAAAUGAAAAAGUGCUUGGUUGGCAACCUGUUCAGAAUGUACCCCACCUCCUGCCUGUUGACUGCAAGGAUGCGCUUCAGCACUGCCGCAACCCUUGUGAGGGUAAGCUGCUAAAAAAUGGAUGGAUGGCAUACAAGGUUGCAAAUGGACUGCAGAGAGUCACACACAGCAGCAGCAGGACUACGCAAAGAAUGGUGAACCAAUUUCAACAGAAAUUUCUACAGGGCUGGUACAUCAGAAGGGUUGCGGGCAUGCUGAAGCCUUACCCACUAUAUUCGGGCGAGAGGCAGCGUACAUCCUGAACUGGGCGGCAGUGACUCGGAGGGGGUACAAAUAAUCACUCGUACUCACAUUCACACAAAUGGGAAAUUUCGAGUUUUCAGUUAACCGAUCAUGCAUGUUUUUGGGAUGUGGGAGGAAACUGGAGUACUCGGAGAAAACAUAAGCGGGCACAAGGAGAACAUCCAAACUUUGCACAGAUGGAGCGGGGGAGAGGGGGAGAAGAGUGACGACCCCGGCAGCGUACCCCAGGGAACGGGAAGAAUAGGGCACAGGCCCGGGACACAGCAGCACACCCCCAAGCCCCCACCAGGAGACUGGGGUGAGAAACCCCAGAGUGGGGACAAGGGGCACCACCCCGGCACCCAGCGACGAAGACACUUCAGAAGCCUAAAUGUUGACUUCUAUUUCAAACGGUAUUACUCCAUCCAGUUUGAUGAAGGACCCCUACCAG